UGCUGUGAUGUGAAGUCUGCAGCGUGUCAAUGGCCUUUAUAGUGUUCUCAGCGUGAGCCGCAGACACAGGAAGUGUGAAACCGGCCUGUCAGAUUUGAAUCCGGUGGAUGAUGAAACAAGUGAAAAAUUCAUAGACCUUCAUGAAUGGGGGAUGUGAGACGUGUUUAUGGAAGACGCUAUCAUAGAGAUUUAAAGCUUUGGCACAGCUUAGCAAUGACCUGAAAGUGCUCUCUAUUUAAUUUUAGUGUACUUUAUUGGCAUUAGAAGAACUGUACAUUUGUAUUGCCAAAGCAUUUGCAGCUGGGUUAUGUAAAUAGUGCAAAUAAAAUUUUAAAAAUAAAAUUAUAUAGUGCAGAAUUAAAAAUGAGAUCGUAAGUUAUAGACACAAAAUAAAAAACAAGAACAUUAAAUUAGAACAAGCUCUUUUUCUCUGAUAUUAUUUCUUUCUGUCCUCAUAAACACUUGUUUAUGCUGAGAAAAUGUUCAUUUCAUUUUGAUUCAGGAUUAUGAAGGCAGCGUGUUUCUUUAGAUUAACAUGCACUGAUGUUUAAUAAUAUCAGAGACGUUUGUUAGGUUGUAAAUGCAGUUUAGAGUCGGUGUUGUGUUUAAGCCGAAAGCGUUUAGUUUCUUCAUCUGUGUUUUUGUGCAAACACCGGACAGGCUUGCAGCUUUAAAUCCAUGUUAAAAUUUGAUCUGCUGUAUUUCUGAGGUGUUUUCUUACAGUAUGAAAGCUCAUGUAAAAUGAAUGAACGGCCUGUGGGUGUUCAGAAGUGAACAGGAUCUUUACACGGCACCAGCGAUGGAUGAAGGUCUUCAGAGACACAUCUCAGGAGGGAAUAAAGAUUUUUCCUCCUCUCUCCUGAUAUUGGAUCCGUCAGAUGAGAGGUUAUUCAUUUCAGAGCUGAAGGAGAUGUUAUGAUGACCCCAGCUGAUGACAGUAAAAUCUCCUCUCAGAUUCAGUCAUAUUGACUCUGUGUCAGUAGGAGCUAUCGAUGAACUGAGCAUCUUGUCGUCAUGGAGACCUUCAUUUUCAUAGUGAUGCUGAAUACACUGUAAGUGUGUGUAUCUGCAAUUGUACACUACCACAUAACAAACAAAAGACACUAAUUUUAUUUGUUUUAAAGGUAUAGCGGAGGAUUUUCUUGAAUUUAAGAAAAGAACCGCCUUUUCCACUUUUUAAAAAAAUGCAAUUGCACAACACUCCUGAUUGACAACUAGGAUGACCAAUAGUCUUGAUGAUCCACCCGGAAAAAGAAAAUCCUCCGCAAUACCUUUAAGCAUUGUUAAACUUAUAUGUUUUAUUUUAUAACAGACUUUCUGGCAGUGCAGGACCUGAUUAAUUGCUAAGAUUAUAUUUACCUUAUGUUACAUUUAUGCAUUUAUACACUUUUAUCCAAAGUGACUUGCAAAGACGACUCGGGCCAGAUCUGUACUGGAUUCGCGCCGGAGUCGGCAGCUCUGGUGCGGAUCCGGCCCGGAGUCGUCUGCUGGGAUACACUGUAAAUAUACUCAGUAUUUGUUUUUCAUGGGUUUUUUGCACUGCUAAUAAUGCACUACCAAUUGAGCGAUCUGUAAUAUCUCAAAUAACUGUACACAGUUACGAACACUAAUACAUCCAUAUUUAUUCUGUGAAAAUACAAAAUAAGAUCAUGUACAUUUUAUUUACAGCCUUUUGUACAAUAUAAUAUAUUGCAUUUAUAUCUGCAUUACUAUUUAUAUAGUGACAUGGAAGUACUUACAGUAACGCACAUCAUUCAUCAUUUUAUAACACC